rnacentral:lncRNA from 1 species
UUCUUGUGAGGCUCCCAAAUUUGUCUGCAUCCGGAGAAAGAGGAACACUCCUCCAUUGUUGGUGGGAUUGCAAACUGGUACAACCAUUCUGGAAAUCAGUCUGGAGGUUCCUCAGAAAAUUGGACAUUGAACUGCCUGAGGAUCCAGCUAUACCUCUCUUGGGCAUAUACCCAAAAGAUGCCCCAACAUAUAAAAAAGACACGUACUCCACUAUGUUCAUCGCAGCCUUAUUUAUAAUAGCCAGAAGCUGGAAAGAACCCAGAUGCCCUUCAACAGAGGAAUGGAUACAGAAAAUGUGGUACAUCUACACAAUGGAAUAUUACUCAGCUAUCAAAAACAACGGCUUUAUGAAAUUCGUAGGCAAAUGGUUGGAACUGGAAAAUAUCAUUCUGAGUGAGCUAACCCAAUCACAGAAAGACAUACAUGGUAUGCACUCAUUGAUAAGUGGCUAUUAGCCCAAAUGCUUGAAUUACCCUAGAUGCCUAGAACAAAUGAAACUCAAGACGGAUGAUCAAAAUGUGAAUGUUUCACGCCUUCUUUAAAAGGGGAACAAGAAUACCCUUGGCAGGGAAGAGAGAGGCAAAGAUUAAAACAGAGACUGAAGUAACACCCAUUCAGAGCCUGCCCCACAUGUGGCCCAUACAUAUACAGCC